UGUGGGCGGAAGCAGGGGAUUCUAAGCUGGUCGCUGGUACCGAGGUAGACUCUUAGAAUGCAGCUUGUGUUGAGGGAUUUGGAGUUCCGUCCUGAGAAAUCCACAAGUCAGGUACUCUCUUUUGUCCUGCGUCUUUCGUUGCCGGUCCCCUCCCACGGAGAGUUGUUACCGUGAGUCCCUCGUGUGCCCCUGGCUGUCGCAGACCUGGUGGAGGUAUGAGGUCUGGAUUAUGGUAAAGAUUCUGAAGACAAAGAUUCCGCCCGAAACUUAUGUCCUCAGCUGGUAACUCACAGGUUUCUGUAUCUAACUGUUUUGCUCCGUUCCUUUUGGUCUUGGGAACUGGAAUCUAUCUCCCUUAGGGUUAGAUGCUAACAGUAAACCACGACUAUGUCAGAAGUCUGAGUUGGUGUUUACACCCAUGAACCGUGAAAUCUUGGCUCUUAGAACUCUCCCACUUUCUUCAAAUAGGAUGGAUGGAUAGAUAGAUAGAUAGAUAGAUAGAUAGAUAGAUAGAUAGAUAGAUAGAUAAACUUUCUGCUGACCCUCUGGGUUCUACCUCCUAAUGACUAGAUCUUGAUGACCCAGUAAAAAACUUAAUCUUAGUGACAAUUUCACACUAUUAAAUAGGAAAUCAUUCCAGAAUUAUUCCUCUGGCAUUAGGUACAUGACAGAUAAGCAGUCAGACAGACGUGCAGAAGUUUAGACACACAUAUAUAAGCAAUGAGCCAAGCAGGUACUAGAAAAAGAUUCGGCACUUUGAAUUUGAAAGCAGAAAUUUCUCCUUAAACACACUUCAGAUGAAACGAUGAUACUUGCAAUGCAGGCAACUUGCAUUGUCCAGGCCUCAUCACUUCUUAAGCUAGACAUUUGCUGAGAGCACUGAUCUAGCACAGUCUCAUACAAGCUGUGGAUGCAGUUUCAGUUUCUGUGAGCUCUCUAAGCCCAAAGCAUCAAUAUUUAUUAGUGCUUUUUGAAAGGUUACUGAUAGUUUUUCUCUGGCUGUUUCUGAUGGAGAUAGUUUUACUAUAUAAGUUUAAAGCAUCAUUUAGGGCUGGUGUAACAAAACGCCAUAAUUCUGAAGGCUGGAAGCCCAAAGUCAAAUGCAGGAAGAUUUGAUGUCUUCUACCCCUACCCUGCCCCCUUAGCCUGGAGACUGCCGCCUUUCUUUGCACCCUCACAUUACUUUCCCUCACCCCAGUUCAGUUCAUCCUCCACGCAGCUAUGAUGACCACAGCAGAUCUCUUGCAUCAUGACCUUCCCUUCUUCCUCUAAUGGAUAUUUCUUUUUCUCAGCAGCUCUAAAGACAAUAAGUUUAACCUUACCUCUGUUUGCUAAGUCAGUUUGUUUCAACAGUCUACUUUUGUUGGCUCCUCAGGCAAGAGUCUUUUUUGGUAAUUGAUCUUAGUUAACAUUUCAUGUUCAAGCCUGAAGACCUUGGCUGAUUUUUCUGCAUGAUUUGUGUUGUUUCCUGACCCCCUCUCACUGUUGUAAGUGGAUUUGUUUCCGUCUAAGUCUGCAUCCUUUUCUCCCUGAGUUAUUUGUUACGUUUCUUUAGAGACAAGAGUACAGUUCUGUGCAGAAAGUCAUCCCCAACCUGCCUUUGCUGGUGCAGGGGAAUGGCAGUUAUGAGUGUCAGCUAUACUACUUCCCCUACUUCCUGCCUUACCAUCUCUCACUGCAACAGGCAGCCACACACACAAACAACUCCUGGACCAGCAAUUCCCAUCUCCGUUGUGCUCCUGUCUUGAAAUUAUCUGGGGAAACAAGUCCCCUUUGAUGUGUUUAUAAAAAGAUAAAGAGAAAGGGGGUAUAUUCUAUGGGGGUGUGGUGAGGCAUGGGGGGCAGGGGGUGUCUCAGUGGCCCCAUGCAGAGGCAUCCUUUUCCCCUAAGGGACCAGCUACACGAGGGUAUAGUAUAGAAUAGAGUUUAUUCAAGGUAUGGGGAGGAGAGUUAAGAGAGUAGCAGAGAGAGAGAGAGAGAGAGAGAGAGAGAGAAAGAGAGAGAGAGGAAGAGAAAGAGAAGAGAAGUAGAGGCUGGCCCAUGGCCAUGAGCACUCAGAGAGAUGGGUAAUGGAAGGGAAUGGGGAACGGAAGAGCAAGAGAGAAGCAAGAGAUAAGAGAACAAGAGAAGGAGGAGGGGACAAGCAGCCCCUUUUAUAGUGGGUCAAGCCUACCUGGAUGUUACCAGGUAACUGUGGGGAGGAGCAUACUUGGCUGUUACCAGGUAAAUGUGGGGUGGAGUUUAGAUAGAAUGCUAACACCUUUAUCAACACAUUUCCAUCCACUCUCUGAAUUUUCUAGAAAUUAGUUUUACCCUUGUUGGAGAGAAGGAAAAAAUAAACUGUGUUUUGCUACUCUUAUAACAUUCAACACAUUAUACUGCCAAAACUUGCUGGAGGAGGCCAUUUCCACAUCCCAAACCAUUCUCCAGCAGGUACCAGCUGCGUCCUACAGUUUAUCUCAAUUCCGACACUGUACAGAUGCAGUUAACAUCAGCUCCCACAAGUAGGGGACCUCAGCACAUGCCCAAGACUCCUGCAUUCCAGGUGUUCACAAAUCUCAAGUUGUAAAUGGGUUAUCAUCAGAUCUUCUGAGGGCUGGCUAUAAAUAAAAUUGUCAAAUCCA
ensembl:processed_transcript Gm13270 predicted gene 13270